AUGCUCAUUUCAACAACACAUAUUUUAAAACUAGAAUGAUACAGAGAAGAUUAGCAUGCCCCUUGAGCAAGUGUGAUGCACAAAUUCAUGAAAUAUUCCAUAUUUUU